rnacentral:misc_RNA from 1 species
CAUGGAAACAAUUAAAACUGUAAGCUCUAUUUCUUUAUUCUUUAAGUUUCUGCCGACUUCCAUUGUUUAUGCAGAUAAUGGAAGCCGUGAUUUUCAAUGCAAUUGCUUAUUUUCCUUUUGUCAGAUGUUCUAGAACAUGUUCUUGCUACGAGCUUACUGAAACUUGGUUAUUACAAAGAGAGGAAUAAAGGGUUUAAAGCUAUUUACUUUCUGUUAGUUUAGCUUUUUGCUGAGAGUUAUCCUUUAAUGGAACAGUGGUUGAUUAUUGGAACAGUGGUUGAUUAUUGUGUUCUUAUUGUUGUUUGAACUGUUGCUUGAAGAAAUG